UCUGAUCAAGUUAAUUUGCGAAAAUAUUAGCAACGCAAUGUCUUUUAUAUAUUAUCUUUGUUCGAAUGCAAGAUGUUUCAGCUCAAACUAUUUUUAUUGUUUUAUUAGGGUGCCGGGGUCUCGAAAAAAUGCACACAGAAGAUUUCUUUGUGGCACAUAUCCAACACAUAUACCGGAGGUCUCAUUUUUUCUCACCCUUUCCUACCCACACACAAAUUUUUCUCCUCAGCACCCUCUUAAGUAUUUCACAAUAUUCAGUUCUUUGUGGAAUUUUCCAUCGAAAGUACGCAAAAUAUUUUGUCUUCAAUCAGUGAGAUAUGUGAAAAGUAAAUUUAAUCAAUUUUUAUAGUAGUUUUUAGAGUGAAAAUUGUGGAAAAUCCGAUUGUUAAAAAAAAGGAUAAACAUGACAAGGUAUUGUAUAAUUUAAAUGAAUAACAAUUCUUUAUAUUACGAAUUGAUUUGCAAUAAAUAAAAUUAUCAACUUUAAAUUCAAUCAACUAAUUAUAUGAUUUUAUUAUCUUGCAGUAAAUCAGACUACAUACAAUAAAUAGGAGAGAUGUAUGGAUCUUAUUCUCAACGAAGCCAUUCAGUCUGUACCUUGUUAGUUUUCCGAAGAUUUCACCGAAUGAGCGCAUAUAACCCAUCUUACGCGCUGUAAACCCAUAAUCGAAUUGUGAAAAAUUCGAUUGAAGAAAAAGGAUAAACAAGAAAAGGUACUGUAUUAUUUGUAUAAUUUAUAAUCAUUAAUUUACCAAUCUGUUUCCAAUAAAUUUAUCAACUUUUUAUUCAAAACUAAUUCUAUGAUUUUACUACCUUGCAGUUAGUUAAUCAAACGACAAUGAACAAAAGGAACAUGGAUCUUAUUCUCAUUGAAGCCCUUCUAUCAGUACCUGGAUAAAGCAUGCUGAUCACAAAUAUUGAUUAAAAUAGGAUAGAGGAAAUCAAUUCGCGAGAAUUGAAGUUUAAAGAUUUCGUCAACUGACAUAAAAAGCAGGACUUUCUCGAUUCUAUGAAGAGGGGAACUUUGGAGGAAAAUGACGCUGAAUGAUGUGGACACUUCAAAAAAUUGCCCAACUUCACUGGACACAUUCUCUUUUUGUUUUAACAAAACGGGGUAAAAGAGACAUCCAUUUUAUUAAAAAUUGUUUUAUGUUAUCAAAAGUUCAAUUAUUUAAGUAUAUCACAAAAUAUGAUUGAUGUAGUUUAAAGGACUGCAUUUUUUUUAACAAAAUGUCUUCUAAAUGUAAAUUAAAAUUUAAGUAUAACUGCCUAUGUAAAAAAAAAGAAUUACAGCUAAUUAUGAAUAUUGUAUAAAAUGUACUAUGAAUUAAAGUGAAAUAAAAAACGAUUUUUUAUGAAAAUCAAAUUUUUAAAUUUUUGGUAAAAAAACUGGAUUUCCAGUUGGCAUAGCUAAAUUUUAGUAAUCCAAGAAUUUAUGACAAAUAGUUAUGUGUACGAAAAUUUAUGUUGGCAUUCCUAAACUUUAGUAGUAUACAGACGUAAAACAUUUUAAUAGUCAUAACUAAAUAUUCUGUUGAGAGAACUAAAAUUUUUCGUUUUGGGCAAUUACUAAAAAUUUUAGUAAAAAUUCUUUACUAAAUUUCUUUACUAAAGUCCAGUCAGUGCCAGUUUUAGUAAUGAUAACGAAAUUUUGACUUACAGUGUA